rnacentral:pre_miRNA from 1 species
CCAAUCGUUAACCAUAGAUUUGCGUAGGUGUUGUGCACAGAGGUGUUACAUAAUAGUCUGUCCAUGACGCCUAGGCAUACCCGUGGUUGACGCAUCUUCAAAUUAAC